UUCCUACGGGAGGCAGUAGUAAGGAAUAUUGGUCAAUGGACGAAAGUCUGAACCAGCCAUGCCGCGUGGAGGAUGAAGGUCCUCUGGAUUGUAAACUUCUUUUAUUUGGGACGAAAAAAGGCCUUUCUAGGUCGUCUGACGGUACCAGAUGAAUAAGCACCGGCUAACUCCGUGCCAGCAGCCGCGGUAAUACGGAGGGUGCAAGCGUUAUCCGGAUUUACUGGGUUUAAAGGGUGCGCAGGCGGAUAUGUAAGUCAGUGGUGAAAUCUUUAGGCUUAACCUGAAAAUUGCCGUUGAUACUAUAUAUCUUGAAUGCUGUGGAGGUAAGCGGAAUAUGUCAUGUAGCGGUGAAAUGCUUAGAUAUGACAUAGAACACCUAUUGCGAAGGCAGCUUACUACGCAGAUAUGACGCUCAUGCACGAAG
rnacentral:rRNA from 1 species